rnacentral:rRNA from 1 species
GCUGGCGGCAUGCCUCAUACAUGCAAGUCGAACGAGAUCUUCGGAUCUAGUGGCGCACGGGUGAGUAACAUGUGGGAAUCUACCUGAAGGUUCGGAAUAACUGCGGGAAACUGUAGCUAAUACCGGAUGUGUCUGCAAAGAGAAAGAUUUAUCGCCUUCAGAUGAGCCCGCACUAGAUUAGCUAGUUGGUGAGGUAAUUGCUCCACCAAGGCUACGAUCUAUAGCUGAUUUGAGAGGAUGAUCAGCCACACUGGGACUGAGACACGGCCCAGACUCCUACGGGAGGCAGCAGUAGGGAAUAUUGGACAAUGGGGGAAACCCUGAUCCAGCAAUGCCGCGUGAGUGAAGAAGGCCUUCGGGUUGUAAAACUCUUUCAUCAAUGAUGAUAAUGACAUUAGUUGAAGAAGAAGCUCCGGCUAACUUCGUGCCAGCAGCCGCGGUAAUACGAAGGGGGCUAGCGUUGUUCGGAAUCACUGGGCGUAAAGCGUAUGUAGGCGGAUCAAAAAGUUAGAUGUGAAAUCCCUGGGCUCAACCCAGGAACUGCAUUUAAAACUAGUGAUCUAGAAAUUGGUAAGGGUUAGUAGAAUUUCCAGUGUAGAGGUGAAAUUCGUAGAUAUUGGAAAGAAUACCAGAAGCGAAGGCGACUAACUAGGCCAUUUUUGACGCUGAGAUACGAAAGCGUGGGUAGCAAACAGGAUUAGAUACCCUGGUAGUCCACGCAGUAAACGAUGAGUGCUAGUCGCUGGUCCAAUAGGAUCAGUGUCGUAGCUAACGCAUUAAGCACUCCGCCUGGGAAGUACGGU